AACGCCCUUUAAUUACGCGAUUAACAAACGUUUAAGGCAAUGAUUAAUAGCGUUAAGGCACGAAUUAACUUAAUUAGGCUCUUGGUAUGCCUAGGAACGCUUAUCGGACGUUACAAUGCGCGUAUGAGGAUUUUCGGGAAAUCUGCUGGAUAUUAAGUGAUAACGAACUAACACCGUAAAAAUUACUGACAACGCCGACAAAUACAAAGUCUAUACGUAUAACUUAUACUUAUGAAUGUGGUUUUGUGAAAACGUCAUGUUUUCGAACAACACAAAACGCAAACGCGAACGAAAAACGCGGAAACAGUAACGCACCGACAAUCAAUGACGAAACGAAAGCACCGGCUGUGAAUUCCGUCUCGAUGUUAAUAUAAUAUGAUAUAUUUAGCUUCGUUUUUAAAUUUUAUUACCCGCAGUUGAAAACGGAUCGAAAAACGAGUUAGAAACGACAGACGGAACAUUUUACGCGAUUUUACGCAACCGACGAUCGGACGCGCCAAUAACGACUACCGACACUAAUUACGUAUUUUUGAUCCUAAAAUUUUAUCCUACGGAAUUUUUACAACGAUCGGGUUGAAAACGGGUUCAUAAUAUGCUGACGGGCCACUUGAAACACGAGAUGGGGCUUGUGGGCCUUGGGUCCAAGCCCGAGCCCACAAGAAAACCCUAAGUAUAAAUUGUAGUGUUAACCUUAUCUUUGAGAUGGGAAACCUCAGACCAAACACGCACACAAUCCCAUCUGGUCUUUCUUCUCUUUCAUUAUUCUCUUAAGCAAACCCUAAACACACCACCACACCCACAGAACAUUCAUCCCUCUCUCUCACACAAGAAUAACUCGAUCAGAUUCCGGCCACUUCUCCGGUGGAUCACGAACACCCACAAUAGCCCCCCUUUCCCUGCUCCUCUCGAGCUCCGACGUCUGGAGUCGGUGCCGAUGAGACCCCAUGACUCUCCAACCUUCUCCUCACCUUAAAAAUCACCAUUUUAGCUCCUUUUUACUCCAUUAAAGGACCACCACCAGAUGGUGGUGGCGUGCGGUGACAAUACACAGAGAGAACAGAGAGAGCGAGAGGCAACGACGGAGGGGGGGGGGUUAUUGCUCGUUUUUCUGGCGACCUUGCCGGUGAACUGAUGAUGCGGCGAAGAUGAUGAAGACCCGGUGUGAUAAUGAUGACGAUGUCCGAAGACGGGUUUUGGGUUUGGGUGACGUUUCAGUUCGGAUCAAAUUUUGUUCGGGUUUGGCGCCGGUGGUGCUAGGCGGCUUUGAGUUCAGAUUUGGUGGAUUUUGAAUUUCGGCUGACUGUUGAUGUUGUGAGUUAGUAAUUUGCUCAGAGAGUUUAUGUUCUAGUUCUUUUUCUUAAGAUCUCGGGUUCUCGGUUUGGUUCGGUCAACAGGAGUCAACGCGGUUAAGGGUUCAGUUCGAGUCAUGCUGCUUCGGGUCAGCCGCGCUCAACGGUCAACAGUGGUUUGACUCGGUCAAACCAAGUCAACUCAGGCAAUACGGGUCAACUGGUCAACAGAUUCGGUUCGGUCAGUGGUUCGGGUCAAGCGGCUUCGGGUCAGACUCAGUCUCGGUUUCGGGUGACUCGGUCAAACCGAGUCAACUCGGUCAACAACGGUCAAACAGGUCAACGCCCGGUCAACACGAAGGACCCGGAAUGUCGUAGUUGCACGCUAGCUAAAUACACGUUCUUGGAACAACACUACGGAAUCACGCUAAGCUGGCAUUGCACAGGAAUGUCAAGGUUGCAUUUUCAAAACUACGGAACGGUUGGAAUAGAAGAACCCAUGGGAAUUCGAGUACUUAGCGGCCGUUCACUGUUUAGAAGUCUUAGCUCAAAUACUUCCGCUGUGCAAUGAAGAUACCAGUCCAGUCACGCCAGCUCUGAUAUUUCGGGGUGUGACAGAUUGGUAUCAGAGCUAUAGGUUUCAGCGAAUUAGGUUUUUGUAGAAACACCUAGGCUUUAACCUCACUAUCCUCUAGGGACUUAGAUAUCAAGAAUUGAACGCAUACAGAAGGCCUAAGACUCGAAUAUGGGUUCCAACCGUUGCCAAGAACAAUGAGUCAACUGUUUUGAUUUUAAACAUGCACAAAAGUUGCGUUUGAUACACGAUACACGAAACAGAUUCAUACAUUAAGCAAAACUUUGAGAGUUUUGGAUAACAUGCAAUUAAGACCUUUGUAAAGCUUAUGUUGAAACUCAUUAAAGAUCCUCAUUUAGAAACCGUGACUAACAACUCGGGCAAACGUCAUUAUCUAUAUUGUCUAUGCUUUUUAGUUACCCGAGCAGGUAAUCUACGUGGAACGAAACGCUAGUGCACAAGUAUACAUGAAACUUAAACUAUACGUCAACGGACGUCGGAGUACAUCACACACGACUUUCGAGGCAAGGCCUUGGGGAGACCACAAUGGUCACGACAACAACGAUGCUAACCCCGUCAGCGGGAUAACAACAACCGAAAUGCAGUACUUUGCCACAUGAUCUUGCAAAUGACACGAAUCACGCUGAGGUACAUUUAACUGGGAUUUCACAACAAUCUAUACUUACUCUAAUGAGACGCACAACUAUUGGCGCUGCAAAAGAAGUCACACGUCUUCGCAUUUCCCCUAUUUCAUGAAUGGCAAAUACGCAAUGUUCGGCAUUCCAUGGUAAUCUCAUCUAGCAACCGAUCAUCACGUGAACUUCCAGGUAAAGUCCUUAAAUUUCUUUUGUUGAAAUUUCGACUUCUUGCAUAUAGUGAGUAGAUUUUUGCAUUUCUACUCCCCCUUAAUGGUCAUUUCAUCACGGAGAUUUUCUUACAUAAUAGCGAAUACACAAUUGCUUCAUUCUAGACAAAUUCAUACGUUACACAUGCGUUGUUUGUUACGCAUGUUGCUUCACUCGAAAUUGUUGCUUUAUCCAAUCAUUGCAUUGUGAUCUAAAUGACCUACGUUAUUGUUAAGUGUUGACUCCUUGUUAUCGAGUCAACGGAUCUCUUGGAAAACUCGGUUUCUUUUGUGUGGUAUACAUGGUUUUUCAUUGUAACCAUGUCGAAACUUUCUUAUUGAUACAUGCAUUCAUUGUUGGAAUGUGUUCAAAUCAAGUACAAUUGUUGAACUUGCUCGUAAUAUAUAUUCGAUUCAAGACUCCAUAUGAUGGAUUGAGGCCAUCAUAUUCGAAAUAACCCCAACAAGCACUUUAUUUGCUUUGAACCAUAACAAGCUUGUUUGGUCUUCGACUUCAUUGAAUCGUUUCUUUGAAUACGAUCACCUUGUGGUGGCGUUCUCACGAGUUUGAAGCUUGCGCUAAUCUCGUUGCUCACAUUAUGUACGAAUUUAAUUAUUUAUUUGUUUAUUGAUAUUAAAUCCGCUUUGUUGGUUUAUCAUAUUAAAGCAACCUUAACACAAUCGUGUGUUAAGAUAAUGGUACACAAAUUUAUGUCAUAUUCCGGUGUACCUCUUAACGGUUCAUUCAUCAUCAAUCGAACAUUUUGCGAUACUUAGUGCUCUUUCAUCUUUGAUCGAAAAACAUUAUUUAUUUGUUUCAUUUCAAUCGAAAAUCCUAUGAGAUUUGUUUGAAACAAACAUUCAGAUUUACUUUGUUGAACCUUUCAUCUGAUUUCAUACACGGUGAACUUGUUUGAUCACCACUAUUAUUGAAUUAUUUCAAUCUCUACGACACCUUGUAGUGUCGGUAUAAACUUGUAGCUUGGGCUAAUUAUGAUCGAGCGUUUCCUGCAAAACACAGGUGAUAUUUGUUCGGUCACCGCUAUUAUUGAAUUGUUUCAUUCACAACGACACCUUGUGGCGUCGGUAUAAACUUGUAGCUUGCGCUAAUCAUGAUCGAUCGUUUCAUGCAAAACUACGUACGCUCUUUGUUUCAUUCACGUACGCUCUUUACACCAGGUUCGGUUGUAUUUCAUUUUGGUGUAUCCUUGCAACACGUUGAUUCUAUUCAUUUAAUGGUUCAAGAGUUGAUAAAUCAUUUUUAUGAUUCUACUUAUUUGAGUUUGUUGAAUUCGAGUUUCACUUAUACAACAACCAACGCUAGAUUUCGUUGGUAGUAAAUUCUAUUGUUUCAAAAAAAUUGAUUUGCAUAUUGUGAACGUUCAUUCGGAAUUCUCUUGGUCGAAAUUUCCUCCCUUGUUGAACCCCGUAAACUUGGUCGCAUUGGUGAUAUACUACGCUUCGUUCACUUGACAUCGAUUUCUAGAACAAACUCAGUUGAACCAUUGGGUUCUUAUUAAUGCAAAAUGUCCUUACGUUCACGUAAUCUGAAUAAGUCUUAACUUGAUUACGCGGUCAUUCACUUUGGUAUUAUUCGGACUUACCUGCGAACAACACAACUCUGAGGAGAUAACAUAGACUAAAUUUCGAGGACGAAAUUUCUACAACAGGGGGAGAAUGUGACAACCGGUAAUUAACGCCCUUUAAUUACGCGAUUAACAAACGUUUAAGGCAAUGAUUAAUAGCGUUAAGGCACGAAUUAACUUAAUUAGGCUCUUGGUAUGCCUAGGAACGCUUAUCGGACGUUACAAUGCGCGUAUGAGGAUUUUCGGGAAAUCUGCUGGAUAUUAAGUGAUAACGAACUAACACCGUAAAAAUUACUGACAACGCCGACAAAUACAAAGUCUAUACGUAUAACUUAUACUUAUGAAUGUGGUUUUGUGAAAACGUCAUGUUUUCGAACAACACAAAACGCAAACGCGAACGAAAAACGCGGAAACAGUAACGCACCGACAAUCAAUGACGAAACGAAAGCACCGGCUGUGAAUUCCGUCUCGAUGUUAAUAUAAUAUGAUAUAUUUAGCUUCGUUUUUAAAUUUUAUUACCCGCAGUUGAAAACGGAUCGAAAAACGAGUUAGAAACGACAGACGGAACAUUUUACGCGAUUUUACGCAACCGACGAUCGGACGCGCCAAUAACGACUACCGACACUAAUUACGUAUUUUUGAUCCUAAAAUUUUAUCCUACGGAAUUUUUACAACGAUCGGGUUGAAAACGGGUUCAUAAUAUGCUGACGGGCCACUUGAAACACGAGAUGGGGCUUGUGGGCCUUGGGUCCAAGCCCGAGCCCACAAGAAAACCCUAAGUAUAAAUUGUAGUGUUAACCUUAUCUUUGAGAUGGGAAACCUCAGACCAAACACGCACACAAUCCCAUCUGGUCUUUCUUCUCUUUCAUUAUUCUCUUAAGCAAACCCUAAACACACCACCACACCCACAGAACAUUCAUCCCUCUCUCUCACACAAGAAUAACUCGAUCAGAUUCCGGCCACUUCUCCGGUGGAUCACGAACACCCACAAUAGCCCCCCUUUCCCUGCUCCUCUCGAGCUCCGACGUCUGGAGUCGGUGCCGAUGAGACCCCAUGACUCUCCAACCUUCUCCUCACCUUAAAAAUCACCAUUUUAGCUCCUUUUUACUCCAUUAAAGGACCACCACCAGAUGGUGGUGGCGUGCGGUGACAAUACACAGAGAGAACAGAGAGAGCGAGAGGCAACGACGGAGGGGGGGGGGGGUUAUUGCUCGUUUUUCUGGCGACCUUGCCGGUGAACUGAUGAUGCGGCGAAGAUGAUGAAGACCCGGUGUGAUAAUGAUGACGAUGUCCGAAGACGGGUUUUGGGUUUGGGUGACGUUUCAGUUCGGAUCAAUUUUUGUUCGGGUUUGGCGCCGGUGGUGCUAGGCGGCUUUGAGUUCAGAUUUGGUGGAUUUUGAAUUUCGGCUGACUGUUGAUGUUGUGAGUUAGUAAUUUGCUCAGAGAGUUUAUGUUCUAGUUCUUUUUCUUAAGAUCUCGGGUUCUCGGUUUGGUUCGGUCAACAGGAGUCAACGCGGUUAAGGGUUCAGUUCGAGUCAUGCUGCUUCGGGUCAGCCGCGCUCAACGGUCAACAGUGGUUUGACUCGGUCAAACCAAGUCAACUCAGGCAAUACGGGUCAACUGGUCAACAGAUUCGGUUCGGUCAGUGGUUCGGGUCAAGCGGCUUCGGGUCAGACUCAGUCUCGGUUUCGGGUGACUCGGUCAAACCGAGUCAACUCGGUCAACAACGGUCAAACAGGUCAACGCCCGGUCAACACGAAGGACCCGGAAUGUCGUAGUUGCACGCUAGCUAAAUACACGUUCUUGGAACAACACUACGGAAUCACGCUAAGCUGGCAUUGCACAGGAAUGUCAAGGUUGCAUUUUCAAAACUACGGAACGGUUGGAAUAGAAGAACCCAUGGGAAUUCGAGUACUUAGCGGCCGUUCACUGUUUAGAAGUCUUAGCUCAAAUACUUCCGCUGUGCAAUGAAGAUACCAGUCCAGUCACGCCAGCUCUGAUAUUUCGGGGUGUGACAAAAGGCUUUGCUGCUUUGGAGAUCUUACUAAAGAUCACGCUGGGAAGUAUGCAACUGGAGAUGAAAUUUACCUGGUAUAAAUUCUUUUACAAAAUAUCUAGUGUAAUUAUAUAUAGCGACGAACAUUACAUAUGCAGGCUGAUCUGUUUCUGGCUCCACAAAUCAUUAGUUUAAAAGUGAGAUUCAACUUUGACAUGAGCGACUACCCUCUACUAUCCAGGACGUGUGAGGCAUACAAGCAGUACCUGCCAUUCAAAAGGCCCUGCCAGAAAACCAGCCAGAUUUUCCAUCAACUGAAGGAAAAAUCUAAAGGUACCAUCUUAAAGUCCUACUGGAAACUAAUUGUCAAAAACUAAGUGGCCUUAAAUCCGGAUUAAUACCUUUGAAAGCAAAAUAGAUAAGUCAUUUGAGUAGAAAAUGUAAAGUCAUCUUGCAUGAAGCUCCAUUAACUUUCAAUCAUACAUUAUGUGAAGUAGUACGCAUAUUGUCACACCCUGCUCGUAGCGGAAGCGCGAGGUGUGAUCUGUUGGUUCUCAUUGCAUAACGAUAUAAGUAAACAUACUAAAUGAAUAAAACAUACUCCAUUGCCAUUACCAUAACUGUUCAAAAGAUGCUCAACAUACAUUAAGUUUAUAAUUUACAAACCAUUCAAAGAAAAUAAGUUGUUACUAUUUCAUACAUCCAAAACGAAAGUUUUAAACAUUAAGGCUUUGUCCACUAUGCCACCGCAAAGCGGCAGUAUAAUAGAUAAACCCUUCAAAAGAUGGCAUGGAGUCUUGAUACUUGUUUCUUGAAUUAGAAUCCCUGACAAGGUCCACUAAUUCCCUGAAAUACAUGUUUAAGUAGAAAAAUCAACAAACGUUGAGCGAGUUCAUGCAGUUUAGUUGUGUAUGAUACAUCCGAAAAAUGUAGAAUGUAUUUGUAUUUGAAUCAAAUAUAGUAUGAAAAGCGUCAAUGAAAUCGUGAUCAUUAAUGUUUUGCAAGGACAUUAAUAUGUGUGACGAAAUAGGAAGCAAUCCAACCCUGGACGAUUUUAAUUGUAUCGACACCAUGUCGUAGGGCAACAAACGCACUCCUAGGCAAAUGAAUGACCAUGAGUGGGGCUUGCUAAAACCCAUUAGAUCUAACCCUUUUGUUCCUUGGUCCAAACUUGGAUUAAUGGAGCUUUAGUUAUGGCCCUAAUUUCUCACAUGAUCUAAGGUGUUUCAUUCCUUGACUUAUCAUACUAUUGUACAUGUAUUUUCCCUGAUAGUUGUAAAGCUUGAAAAGGAUUUAAGAUAAAAAGGGGACAUGAACUCACAGAAUUGCAUCCGUAAACUGUAUGUAAUUGUAACCUCACUUGUAGUUGUCUUGAAUUGUAUCACGACCUACAAAGGUCCUAGAUUUGUUAAACACUUCGGUCUUUGUAUUGGCUCAUGUACAAGUCUUCUAUCUUGAAAAUGUAUUAAGACUUGUUUGUAUUUGUUAUUCAUUGAACUGUG